rnacentral:rRNA from 1 species
GACGAACGCUGGCGGCGUGCCUAACACAUGCAAGUCGAGCGAAUGAAGUUCCUUCGGGAACGGAUUUAGCGGCGGACGGGUGAGUAACACGUGGGCAACCUGCCUCAUAGAGGGGAAUAGCCUUCCGAAAGGAAGAUUAAUACCGAAUAAGAUUGUAGCUUCGCAUGAAGCAGCAAUUAAAGGAGCAAUCCGCUAUGAGAUGGGCCCGCGGCGCAUUAGCUAGUUGGUGAGGUAACGGCUCACCAAGGCGACGAUGCGUAGCCGACCUGGGAGGGUGAUCGGCCACAUUGGGACUGAGACACGGCCCAGACUCCUACGGGAGGCAGCAGUGGGGAAUAUUGCACAAUGGGGGAAACCCUGAUGCAGCAACGCCGCGUGAGUGAUGACGGUCUUCGGAUUGUAAAGCUCUGUCUUCAGGGACGAUAAUGACGGUACCUGAGGAGGAAGCCACGGCUAACUACGUGCCAGCCGCCGCGGUAAAAC